rnacentral:rRNA from 1 species
AUAGCCACGGCUUCGAGUGUAAAAAGCUCCGGGAUAAGGGCUGGGCAAGGCCGGUGGCAGCCGCCGCGGUAAUACCGGCGGCCCGAGUGGUGGCCGCUAUAUUUGGGCCUAAAGCGUCGUAAGCCGUAGCCGGCCGUAAGUCCCUGGCGAAAUCCCACGGCUCAACCGUGGGGCUUGCUGGGGAUACUGCGGGCCUUGGGACCGGGAGAGGCCGGGGGUACCCCUGGGGUAGGGGUGAAAUCCUAUAAUCCCAGGGGGACCGCCAGUGGCGAAGGCGCCCGGCUGGAACGGGUCCGACGGUGAGGGACGAAGGCCAGGGGAGCGAACCGGAUUAGAUACCCGGGUAGUCCUGGCUGUAAAGGAUGCGGGCUAGGUGUCGGGCGAGCUUCGAGCUCGCCCGGUGCGGAGGGAAGCCGUUAAGCCGCCGCCUGGGGAGUACGCCGCAAGGCUGAAACUUAAAGAAUGGCGGGGGAGCACUCUACAGGGGUGAGCGUGCGGUUUAAUUGAUUCAACGCCGGGAACCUCACCGGGGGCGACGGCAGGAUGAAGCCAGCUGAAGGUCUUGCCGGACACGCCGAGAGAGGUGCAUGCCGCCGUCAAGCUCGUACCGUGAGGCGUCCACUUAAGUGUGGUAACGAGCGAGACCCGCGCCCCCAGUUGCAGUCUCCCCGCUGGGGAGGAGGCACUCUGGGGGGACCGCCGGCGAUAAGCCGGAGGAAGGAGCGGGCGACGGUAGGUCAGUAUGCCCCGAAACCCCCGGGCUACACGCGCGCUACAAUGGGCGGGACAAUGGGAUCCGACCCCGAAAGGGGAAGGGAAUCCCCUAAACCCGCCCUCAGUUCGGAUCGCGGGCUGCAACUCGCCCGCGUGAAGCUGGAAUCCCUAGUACCCGCGUGUCAUCAUCGCGCGGCGAAUACGUCCCUGCUCCUUGCACACACCGCCCGUCAAUCCACCCGAGCGGGGUCCGGGUGAGGCCUGUCUCCCUUCGGGGAGGCCGGGU